rnacentral:rRNA from 1 species
CCUACGGGUGGCAGCAGUAGGGAAUCUUGCACAAUGGGGGAAACCCUGAUGCAGCAACGCCGCGUGAGUGAUGAAGGGUUUCGGAUCGUAAAGCUCUUUUAUUAGAGAAGAAAAUGACGGUAACUAACUAAUAAGCACCGGCUAACUUCGUGCCAGCAGCUGCGGUAAUACGUAGGGGGCAAGCGUUAUUCGGAAGGACUGGGCGUAAAGAGAGCGGAGACGGUCAAGCAAGUCAGAUGUGAAAUCCUAUGGCUUAACCGUAGAAUUGCAUUUGAAACUGGGCUGCUAGAGUACGGGAGAGGAGAGUGGAAUUCCUGGUGUAGCGGUGAAAUGCGUAGAGAUAAGGAGGAACACUAGUGGCGAAGGCGGCUGGCUGGACUGUAACUGACGCUGAGGCGCGAAAGCGUGGGGAGCAAACAGGAUUAGAUACCCCAGUAGUC